CACGUAGGGGACGAGCGUUGUCCGGAUUCAUUGGGCGUAAAGCGCGCGUAGGCGGCUCGGAAAGUCGGUCGUGAAAUGCCGGGGCUCAACCCCGGGACUGCGUCCGAUACUCCCGAGCUGGAGGCAGGUAGGGGAGAUCGGAAUUCCUGGUGUAGCGGUGAAAUGCGCAGAUAUCAGGAGGAACACCGGUGGCGAAGGCGGAUCUCUGGGCCUUGCCUGACGCUGAGGCGCGAAAGCGUGGGUAGCAAACAGG
rnacentral:rRNA from 1 species